rnacentral:rRNA from 1 species
CUACGGGUGGCUGCAGUGGGGAAUAUUGCACAAUGGACGAAAGUCUGAUGCAGCAACGCCGCGUGGAGGAUGACACAUUUCGGUGCGUAAACUCCUUUUAUAUAGGAAGAUAAUGACGGUACUAUAUGAAUAAGCACCGGCUAACUCCGUGCCAGCAGCCGCGGUAAUACGGAGGGUGCAAGCGUUACUCGGAAUCACUGGGCGUAAAGAGCGUGUAGGCGGAUAGAUAAGUCAGGAGUGAAACCCUAUGGCUCAACCAUAGAACUGCUCUUGAAACUGUCAAUCUAGAGUGUGGGAGAGGUAGAUGGAAUUUCUGGUGUAGGGGUAAAAUCCGUAGAGAUCAGAAGGAAUACCGAUUGCGAAGGCGAUCUACUGGAACAUAACUGACGCUGAGACGCGAAAGCGUGGGGAGCAAACAGGAUUAGAUACCCCCGUAGUC